rnacentral:rRNA from 1 species
GACGAACGCUGGCGGCGUGCCUAAUACAUGCAAGUCGAACGAACUCUGGUAUUGAUUGGUGCUUGCAUCAUGAUUUACAUUUGAGUGAGUGGCGAACUGGUGAGUAACACGUGGGAAACCUGCCCAGAAGCGGGGGAUAACACCUGGAAACAGAUGCUAAUACCGCAUAACAACUUGGACCGCAUGGUCCGAGUUUGAAAGAUGGCUUCGGCUAUCACUUUUGGAUGGUCCCGCGGCGUAUUAGCUAGAUGGUGGGGUAACGGCUCACCAUGGCAAUGAUACGUAGCCGACCUGAGAGGGUAAUCGGCCACAUUGGGACUGAGACACGGCCCAAACUCCUACGGGAGGCAGCAGUAGGGAAUCUUCCACAAUGGACGAAAGUCUGAUGGAGCAACGCCGCGUGAGUGAAGAAGGGUUUCGGCUCGUAAAACUCUGUUGUUAAAGAAGAACAUAUCUGAGAGUAACUGUUCAGGUAUUGACGGUAUUUAACCAGAAAGCCACGGCUAACUACGUGCCAGCAGCCGCGGUAAUACGUAGGUGGCAAGCGUUGUCCGGAUUUAUUGGGCGUAAAGCGAGCGCAGGCGGUUUUUUAAGUCUGAUGUGAAAGCCUUCGGCUCAACCGAAGAAGUGCAUCGGAAACUGGGAAACUUGAGUGCAGAAGAGGACAGUGGAACUCCAUGUGUAACGGUGAAAUGCGUAGAUAUAUGGAAGAACACCAGUGGCGAAGGCGGCUGUCUGGUCUGUAACUGACGCUGAGGCUCGAAAGUAUGGGUAGCAAACAGGAUUAGAUACCCUGGUAGUCCAUACCGUAAACGAUGAAUGCUAAGUGUUGGAGGGUUUCCGCCCUUCAGUGCUGCAGCUAACGCAUUAAGCAUUCCGCCUGGGGAGUACGGCCGCAAGGCUGAAACUCAAAGGAAUUGACGGGGGCCCGCACAAGCGGUGGAGCAUGUGGUUUAAUUCGAAGCUACGCGAAGAACCUUACCAGGUCUUGACAUACUAUGCAAAUCUAAGAGAUUAGACGUUCCCUUCGGGGACAUGGAUACAGGUGGUGCAUGGUUGUCGUCAGCUCGUGUCGUGAGAUGUUGGGUUAAGUCCCGCAACGAGCGCAACCCUUAUUAUCAGUUGCCAGCAUUAAGUUGGGCACUCUGGUGAGACUGCCGGUGACAAACCGGAGGAAGGUGGGGAUGACGUCAAAUCAUCAUGCCCCUUAUGACCUGGGCUACACACGUGCUACAAUGGAUGGUACAACGAGUUGCGAACUCGCGAGAGUAAGCUAAUCUCUUAAAGCCAUUCUCAGUUCGGAUUGUAGGCUGCAACUCGCCUACAUGAAGUCGGAAUCGCUAGUAAUCGCGGAUCAGCAUGCCGCGGUGAAUACGUUCCCGGGCCUUGUACACACCGCCCGUCACACCAUGAGAGUUUGUAACACCCAAAGUCGGUGGGGUAACCUUUUAGGAACCAGCCGCCUAAGGUGGGACAGAUGAUUAGGGUG